GUGAAUCAUCGAAUUUUUGAACGCAAAUUGCACUCUCUUCGGAGAGGAUGCCUGUUUGAGGGUCAGCAUAAAAAAAAUCGACAUAGUUGCUGUUACGCGGUAACAUUCGGCGGAAAUGGGGUAAUCUUAAACCUAUGGGAUUAAGCGGCUAAAAGUUAUCAUUACGAUUACAAGAACGUUUCUAAGAUAGUAUCUUCUUAUACGUUCAAGGUAGCGAUCUAUA
rnacentral:misc_RNA from 1 species